rnacentral:misc_RNA from 1 species
CCAAACUUGGUCAUUUAGAGGAAGUAAAAGUCGUAACAAGGUUUCCGUAGGUGAACCUGCGGAAGGAUCAUUAUUGAACUUUGAACACUUUGUACUCUUGUCUGUUGCUGGCUUCUUCGGAAGUAUGUGCACGCUUGAGUGCAAGGGUCUUCUUUGUCCACCUGUGCACCUUUUGUAGAUCUGGAUACCUCUCGCCUUACCCAAGGCGGAUUUUGAAGGGUUGCUACUUCGUAGCUCCCUUUGUUUUCCAGGUCUAUGUCUUAUAUCAUCUCAAGUAUGUUUAGAAUGUCUUGUUUAUUGGACUCAGUCCUUUAAAAACUUAUACAACUUUCAACAACGGAUCUCUUGGCUCUCGCAUCGAUGAAGAACGCAGC